rnacentral:rRNA from 1 species
CUUGCGCUCUUUGGUAUU